rnacentral:lncRNA from 1 species
AAUUGUUGUUAAUCAAGCUAAUGAUUUUAAUAGAUUAACAGUUAUUGGAGGUUUAUAGGCAUUAUAUUGCUUUUAUCUUCAAACAAUAGCCAUUCAACUAUACUCCUUGCCAUAUGAAUGUAGAAAAUUAGUUGUAUUUGGAACUAUCUUGAAUGUGUGGACAAUACUGAGUGCUGCAUAUUAGAAUAUUUCUUAGUAUAAAAUAAUUUUAAGAUACCCCAUUAAUCUAUAUGUUUGUUAUGUAUAAGUAUGGAUGCUUUAGAAAUAUGUAUGUUGUAAUAUCUUUUUUUUUUUUAUUUUAAUG